rnacentral:rRNA from 1 species
GAUGAACGCUGGCGGCGUGCCUAAUACAUGCAAGUCGAGCGAACAGACGAGGAGCUUCUUCCUCUGACGUUAGCGGCGGACGGGUGAGUAACACGUGGAUAACCGACCUAUAAGACUGGGAUAACUUCGGGAAACCGGAGCUAAUACCGGAUAAUAUAUUGAACCGCAUGGUACAAUAUUGAAAGACGGUUUUGCUGUCACUUAUAGAUGGAUCCGCGCCGAAUUAGAUAGUUGGUAAGGGAACGGCUUACCAAGGCAACGAUGCGUAGCCGACCUGAGAGGGUGAUCGGCCACACUGGAACUGAGACACGGUCCAGACUCCUACGGGAGGCAGCAGUAGGGAAUCUUCCGCAAUGGGCGAAAGCCUGACGGAGCAACGCCGCGUGAGUGAUGAAGGUCUUCGGAUCGUAAAACUCUGUUAUUAGGGAAGAACAAAUGUGUAAGUAACUAUGCACGUCUUGACGGUACCUAAUCAGAAAGCCACGGCUAACUACGUG